UAAGGAGGGGGCAUGCGUCGUUCGGAAGUACUGGGCGUAAAGGGCGCGUAGGCGGCGUCGUAAGUCAGGCGUGAAAGGCCAGGGUUCAACGCGGGAACUCCGCUUGAAACUGCGGCGCUCGAGUCCGGGAGAGGAUGGCGGAAUUCCCAGUGUAGAGGUGAAAUUCGUAGAUAUUGGGAAGAACGCCGGUGGCGAAGGCGGCCAUCUGGACCGGUAUUGACGAUAAUGCGCGAAAGCGUGGGGAGCAAACAGG
rnacentral:rRNA from 1 species